AGAACAUUUCCAUAGUUUUUCUGCAUUGUUUUAAUUUCUUUUACACAUAUUUAAUUACUAUAAUUAUUUUUGAUAUCUGGGAUACAUACGACCUGUCCUGUGUAUGUGGAUGAGAGUAAAACGCAUUUGGAUUGAGACAUGGAGCAGCUCUUUUUUCUUCUCAUUCACGUAUUUGCUUCUUCAUCCUUAAUCUCAGCAGGAAAUGACACGAGCAUACAAACUACGUUACCUCCAAACACAAAUGCUACUUCUCCAUGUUCUGCUGAUUCAAGAACAGAAGUCCAAACUGAAAAAACAACGACUUCUACUUUUUCAUCUCAAUAUGAGAAUAACAUGACCAGCCACACAUCAAAAACUGUGAGCACAACCACAGCUCCUGUAUCUUCUAGCCACACAGGCAGUACUGAUGGAUCCAGCCUCUCUCUACAUAGCACAUCAGGACAGUCCAGCAUUACCAGCUCCAUGUUAACAACACCAAAAUCCUACACUGACACAACUCUAAAUUCCACCUCAUCCACAGCGGCCAAAAUAACAGUGGGUGUUUCUGUACUUGCAAACACUUCAACAACAGCUAAUUCAAACAUCAGCAUGUCAGAGGGGACGCCAACACCUUCACAGGCACCAGACAGCAGCCUCACUUCGCUCGCCUUUGGUGUGAUGAGUCUUAUACUCAUUUUAAUUGUUGUCAUGGUGGUCUUGGUGACUGCUAUCAACCUCAGGGGACGGUGUAGAGACAUCAAACAACACAAGAGUAUUAAAAGCUGUGAUUCUGUGGUGUCUGACAGCAACAUGACCAGCAACUGUGAGAAAGAGAGCAUCACUCUUGUCUCUGUGAGGACAAUAAACACAGAAAACAAUACAGAUUCUCCCCAGAUGUCUUCGGUUCACAGCACUAUACUGGACAAUGAGGACCAAGAAUUUAGCAGAGACUUGCUGUUCAUCAAUGAUGGACUGUGAUUUCACUCAGUUCAUAGUGCAUGAGAUUGGAGGCUGCAUACUAUAUUUAUAAUGUUAAAUGAAUGUGAACUAAUGUGCCUCUAGCUGAUGGUCAGUGUACAGAUCACACAUCAUGCUUAUGGCCUACAUUGGUGCACUGCAUAUAAAAUGAUCCCUAUAUCAGACAUGCUCUCGUAUAUUGAACAUGACACAUACUUCAUUGAUAAAUAAAAUGUCACUUUUGUGUUGAUAUUCUUUUUCA
ensembl:lncRNA